rnacentral:lncRNA from 1 species
GGUCAAUAUGCUAGUCACUACUGAGGGUACCUUGAAAAGUUCAAGCGACUCUAUUUUUGCUGUUGAGCGGACAUCUUUCAAAAGAAAGUCUCAAGGAAAGAAAAAGAAUAAGCCUGUGAAGAAGCAGAAAAAGAAAAGUAAAUCCAAAGAAGGGUCCAUAGAUCUGUACGAAGAUGUGAACCCAUGGAUAGGUGUGUCGCUGUGAAUCCUGAUAGCCAACAAUCC